rnacentral:other from 1 species
AAGAUCCUGCGAUGUACGUAAGGCCGUAAAUGUUUCUAACCUUAUACGUGUUUUUCGGGAGACGGAAUUUCGCAAUGGAAGUCAGGCCCACCUCCUUUUGGAUGCAUGGGAAGGCAGAAGUUCGAAGGGGUCACCCACCUGUGUGAGCGCAGGUUAUAGAAACAUGAGGUCAACGGCAGAGCGGGGACUUG